CCUACGGGUGGCAGCAGUGAGGAAUAUUUGUCAAUGGACGAGAGUCUGAACCAGCCAAGUAGCGUGAAGGAUGACUGCCCUAUGGGUUGUAAACUUCUUUUAUAAAGGAAUAAAACGAGGCACGUGUGCCUUUUUGCAUGUACUUUAUGAAUAAGGAUCGGCUAAAUCCGCGUCAGCAGCCGCGGUAAUACGGAGGAUCUGAGCGUUAUCCGGCUAUUUUGGGUUUAAAGGGAUCGUAGAUGGGUUGUUAAGUCAGUUGUGAAAGUUCGCGGCUCAACCGUAAAAUUACAAUUGAUACUGGCAGUCUUGAGUACGGUAGAGGUAGGCGGAAUUCGUGGUGUAGCGGUGAAAUGCUUAGAUAUCACGAAGAACUCCGAUAGCGAAGGCAGCUCACUGGACUGCAACUGACACUGAUGCUCGAAAGUGUAGGUAUCAAACGGGAUUAGAUACCCUAGUAGUC
rnacentral:rRNA from 1 species